GUCUCGUCCAAAUCCUUUACGAGAAUAAGACAACACUAUAGUCACUAAACAAUAUAUAUCCACUUAUAUACCCUUUAAACUUAUCAGAUACCACGUAACACAUAAGCAUGCUUUGAUUCUACCAUAUAGUCAAGUCAUAUUCACAUAACAUAUUAUCAAUUAAAUAUCAUAUAAAUCUUAUCGAAAAUCCGACAUCGUCUCGUCUAUUUAUUAGACUAUCCACCUGUUAUCCUAUCUCAAUCAACAAUCAACCAACCAAAUCCAAUCACUAUAAUCCAUAUGCUUUUAUCCGACAUCUAUCAAGACACGACACUAUGUCAUUUAAUCAUUUAUCACAUGUAUGUAAUACUAGAACAACCAGAUAGUCCAUGCAAUCAUCAAUUAAUAGCAAUUAGAUCACAUAUAAUCAUAUUCUAUACAUUUAACAACAAUUAUUCACAUUCUAUACUCCACCAUAUUAUUAUGUCACAUUAAAAUAGACUUUAUAAGCUUUAAUCUCUUUUUCGUUUCACUCUAUUCUGAAUUACGAGUCAAAAGUUAUGAGCAAGACCGUUUUCUAACUCUCCUAUCGGUACAUAACAUAUCAAACAGAUAGCAGACAACAUUUUUCAUAUAAGGUUUCCCAUCCCAAUUGAUAUCAAAUCAAGUCUCAGGUUAAAAAUGAUUUUUCAGGAAUUUUCUGGAAUUUCUAGACAUUUUUCGGAAUUAAAACAGGUAAAAGAAUCCAUUCUUGAAUAAAUAAUCAAAUCCGAUUGCUCAAGAUCGGAUCCAAAAUCAUUUGAAAUCAAUUAACGAGCCUCAAACAUAUUUUAGAAAAAUAAUUCAAAGCUCGAAACUAUUUUCCAGAAUUUUUAAAUCAAAAGGAACAAUUAAAUCCAAUUAAUUAAUCAAUUAAAAUUAAUUAAUAAUUAACUAAAUUAAUUAAUCAAUUAAUAUUUAAAUUAAUUGACCAAUUAAAAUAAUUAAUUACUAAUUAAAAUUAAUUAAGAAACUAAUUUAGAUUUAUUUUUGAAUAAAGAAAUAAUUAAAAACUAUUUUUGGAAUUUAAAAUAAUUAAAUAAAACAAUUUUAGAAAAUUAAAUCAAAAGGUUUAUUUUGUAAACUUUUGAAAGUUUUCGGCCAGGGUUUAAAGUGUAACUUUCAAAAGUUCCAGGGGGUGUUUUGUAAGAUUCAAAACUAGGAUACAAAAACUUCACCAUCUUCAAAAGUUCGGGUACCAAACUGCACUUUGGCAGCGGCACCCCCCCACCGUCACCGUUAACUCGCCGGAAUCUGCGUUCCGGCCAUCCACUCAACGCCAAACUGUCCCGAACUCAAGCAUACGAUCCCCUAAAUCUUUUUAUGGCUUCAAUCUCAGCAAAUAAACGACCAAUUGGCCGGAAAAAUCAAGAAAAGUUCUGCCGCCGGCAGAACUCUCUUUUCUCCGAUGAACGCAUAAUCGGACUCCUUCACUAAAACCAACACCACCACCGGAUUCCUCUCCUCACACAAAUUUCAAUUAAAAAGCUUCAAAAACAUUCAAGAACACAACUCCGAGAAUUAAACCCACGUUUCUAUAUGUUAUCGAAGUCAAAAUUCGACAUAUAAUAUAUGAAAACGAAUGGCAGGAGAUGCUCUACAACAUGGAAUCAUCAAACAACACAACAAAGAUCAUCUACGAAAAAUCAUUAUUUAAAAUCAUUUAAUUCGAAUUUUGUAAAAAUCUCAUAAAAUCACCUGAUGAUUCUGCACUGAAACGGAUGAUUGUAUUAGAUUCUACGCGUCGAGAGCUUCGUUUUGACUAUUUAUACGCCUCCAUCGGAUUCCGAUAACGCCUUCAAAUCCUCGUUUGAAUAUGAAGAACACGAAGAACACCCGUUCGUCUUCUCUCGGUAUUCGUGCAGAGAAACGGACGAAAUGAUUGUACGUGCGAAAUAAACUGGUAAAG
rnacentral:lncRNA from 1 species